rnacentral:ncRNA from 1 species
GCAGAUUGGUGAGGCAAUGGUUCCCAUAUGAGCGCAAAGCGUUCCGGGAAGAAUUGGGAAUGACGUGACAGCGGACCCAAACAGGGCGCUUAACCGUCAGCCGCCCCCGCGACUGUAAGCGGAGAGCCACUGCCACAAUGCCACUGGGGGUAACACCUUGGGAAGGCGGCAGAACGGCGAUGACCCGCAAGCCAGGAGACCAGCCAUCGCAUGGACCUAACC